GGCCGCGGGAAUUCGAUUCAGGCCUAACACAUGCAAGUCGAGCGAACCCUUCGGGGUGAGCGGCGGACGGGUGAGUAACGCGUGGGUAACCUGCCCUGUACACACGGAUAACAUACCGAAAGGUAUGCUAAUACGAGAUAAUAUAUUUUAGUCGCAUGGCUAAGAUAUCAAAGCUCCGGCGGUACAGGAUGGACCCGCGUCUGAUUAGCUAGUUGGUGAGGUAAUGGCUCACCAAGGCGACGAUCAGUAGCCGACCUGAGAGGGUGAUCGGCCACACUGGAACUGAGACACGGUCCAGACUCCUACGGGAGGCAGCAGUGGGGAAUAUUGCACAAGGGGCGAAAGCCUGAUGCAGCAACGCCGCGUGAGCGAUAGAGGCCUUCGGGUCGUAAAGCUCUGUCCUCAAAGAAGAUAAUGAC
rnacentral:rRNA from 1 species